rnacentral:lncRNA from 1 species
GCUGUUUAUGUGUGUACUUUCUCAUGAAAUAAUAUUGCUGUCAAUAUUUGUUAAGGGAAUACUGCUGUUGACUUAUUUUCUACAAUCAAAACAGAAAGAGGAGUAGGAGAGAAAAGUCUGCAUUCUGGUUUUUACUCUGCAGUGUUCUUUAUCUCUCAUACAGCAUCUGCACUAUGAAAUUCACCCUGAAUGAAAGGAAACUCAGAUGUCUUUACUUCCAGCAGAGAGGACACAACUCUCAGGCUGAAUUAGGCCAUUUGAAGAGGUUUACCAAAAUCUCCGUGGGUUACAGACACAAGACUUUUCUCUCACACUGGUCUGGACUGAGCACAGGGUGGUUGUAGAUGCUGGAACUCAAUUUAUCCAUAAGCUGGGGAGGACCUGAACUGGCUCUAGCUGUUCUGAAAGAGAGAAGAAGCAGCCCAACAGCUCUAACGAAAAUGGUACGUUCAAGGAGAAGCUUCAGAAACCAGUGCUGGCUUUUGGAACCCUCACCGCCAAGUCACCUCUCUGUUGCAUCUCACCUCCCAUGCAUUUCUGUGUGGUGCCAGGAGAAGAAUGGAAAAUAGCCAUGAAGUAAAAGCAGAUUCUGCUCCCAUUAAAGGCAAUGAAAACAGUGCUUUUACUUCUACUUACUCAUAAUAGUGGAGAAAAAUGAAGUGGAAACAAGCACAAAAAAACACCUCUGCCAGCUAUCUACAAGCUAACCAAGGCUUCCACUAAUGAGGUGCUCUGGCAUUUUAAGAAAGACAGAUUCUUCCAGAAAUGGAAAAAAUACGUUGAGUUUUUCCUUCAGUUCUGAAAAGCUAGUGAAAGCAUAACAAAUAGUAUUUCAAAAAAGGGAUGACAGUCAAACUUUUAAUGCUGUCUGUGCUAUUAAAUACCUAAAGAUGCCCAUACAGUUUCUUGUCAACUAAAUGCUUUUACAUAUAUAUUUGUCAGCUUAUUAAAUAUUGAUAUUUACAUACCUCACCUAAUUAUUGACUGUAUUUAUGGGGUCAUUUAAAUGACCACAAAAUUUUUGAGAAAGUUAAUAAUAUCAAAUUACAAUAAUGGAGUAAUUUUCAGGUUACAUUUUUUAGAAGACUCUAUAUCAUGGACAAUCACAUAGUCUACUAAACAGAACAGUACAGUUUGUGGAAAAGAUAAUAGUGCAGAUCAUGAG